rnacentral:rRNA from 1 species
AGUCAAUAGAUACCCGGGUAGUCCACGCCGUAAACGAUGUCGACUUGGAGGUUGUGCCCUUGAGGCGUGGCUUCCGGAGCUAAACGCGUUAAGUCGACCGCCUGGGGAGUACGGCCGCAAGGUUAAAACUCAAAUGAAUUGACGGGGGCCCGCACAAGCGGUGGAGCAUGUGGUUUAAUUCGAUGCAACGCGAAGAACCUUACCUACUCUUGACAUCCAGAGAACUUAGCAGAGAUGCUUUGGUGCCUUCGGGAACUCUGAGACAGGUGCUGCAUGGCUGUCGUCAGCUCGUGUUGUGAAAUGUUGGGUUAAGUCCCGCAACGAGCGCAACCCUUAUCCUUUGUUGCCAGCGGUUAGGCCGGGAACUCAAAGGAGACUGCCAGUGAUAAACUGGAGGAAGGUGGGGAUGACGUCAAGUCAUCAUGGCCCUUACGAGUAGGGCUACACACGUGCUACAAUGGCGCAUACAAAGAGAAGCGACCUCGCGAGAGCAAGCGGACCUCAUAAAGUGCGUCGUAGUCCGG